CGGGGGUCGUCUUCUUUUUAUUAUUACUGUUAUCAUUUUUCCCGAGGGGUGUCGCCGGCAGGUUUUCCAGCAUCCGUGGGGCGCGGGGGUCUGGAGCGGGGGAGGUGAUGCAUGUGGAGGAAAACGGGAUCGUUUCUAGCUCGGUUUUCUUUUUUUUCUUUUUUUCUUUUUUUUCUUUUUUUCUUUUUUUUUGUUUUUUACGCUGCUGCAAAACAAAGAGAUGCUUGCAGAUUUCAAAACAAGCUGAAGGCUAUUUUUAAAAAUAGGGCUUCUCAGCCUCAUGGAAGUAAUAAGUUGCAGCCUUACUGAAUAGAAAUACAUGAAAACCACAGCAUUUUCCUCUCCUAACUUUAAAACCCACAUAAUACGUGUUUGUUCGCUGCAGAUGAACUAAUCUCGCUAUUGUGUUGCCAGGGAUCAGCUGGCUUGUGCUUUACAUUUUCUGCAGGUCACUGCAAUCGUUGCCUUUUGUUGUUUUGCGAUGGGGGAGUAUGAUGGGAAAGGGAGGGGGAGCAUAAUUGACAUGGUGCUAAAAUUGGGCCCAGAACAUCAUCGUAAUUUUGAUGCACGCUUUGGAGGCUUAUUGCCACAGUGAGAUUUUCAUCUGCAAACAACAAGGGAAAAGACGGACCUUUAUUGCUCCUUGUGCAUUUGGGUACACCCGAGCUCUCCAUGCACCUACGGCUCUUGCCUCUGGGAAGCUCGAACCCUUGAGCAAAGACAACUUGGAUGGUUUUACUCCCUAGAGGGAAUAAAAUUUUAAAUCCUAGGGCGGUACUGCCUGUGCAGGGCUGGAGGGGUUGCAGCUUUAGGCCCCUUAGGGCAAUGCUGACCGCAGGCAGGUGUCUGCUUCAAGAAGAGGGGCAGUAGUCUUUGCACCCAUGGAAACCCCUUCCUUUUCCCCAGCUGGGCCAAAGUAAGCCAACUUCCUCCGUGCUGUUUCCACAGGCAGCCCACGUGUGUGAUGGAGCAGCCCUCCAGCACCGCUGAGGGCACUUGCUCCUGCCCUUGCCAUGCUGGUGAGGAGUCUGGGAAAGCCUGGAUGGCUCCUGUGGGCUGCCAGGUCCUGCACCUUCAAUGGUGCUCCCAAAGACUGGCCAUGCCAGGAGAGACCAGCAGCGCCCGUGAUUUCAGACCCAUGGACCUGGGGUUGGCCAUGGCUGGUGCAGAGAAGCAGAGAGGAGGCUACAGCCUGGGUUACAGUGCAGAAAGGGUCUUUCCAUGCUUGGGCUGAUGAGCAGCGAGACACUGUAGCAGGUUUGAUCUCCUGAAAUAAUUUUCUGAUGUCCAUGGGGGCAGGUGGGCUGCUCAGUGGGAAAGGUCUGUAGCUUCGCAGUCGAGAGAAGACACAGCGAAUGUCUUCAGGAUGCAGAUCCCCGCUUGCUUCCUGGGCAAGUGUAGAGUCACGCCUGGCAGAAGGCUGCUGACUGGCGGUACAGACAGAUCACUCUCAUUACACAAACAGUGUAUUUCGGGAUACGUGAAAGCAUUUUUUUAAUGAUACCAGUUUAGAUGUGGUGUUCUCAAACAGAUAUUCUUGGUUUCCUGUGUGAGUUGGACCACAACCUACCAAUGUGGCGAUUUUAGGUAAAUACUACCACACUGUCCUUCCCAAAAUAGCCCUCAAGGGUGGCCAUGCAGAGGUCUCCUGGCCCAAAUGAUGUCAUUCAGCAAGCAGAUCAUGAGAAGGCUCUCGUAGUUCCUUAUCACUAAAAGCACAUCAUCUUAAAAAAGGAGGAGGUGAGCACCAGUUAGCAAGGGUUCUGCCAUGGAGAGAAGGGGUGGGUCCUGGGCCAAGCUGGGACAAUUGGGGAAUGUGUUGAACAUGGCACAGCGUUCAGCUGGGACUUCUGUCAGCAGCCAUCAGAUGCACCUCUUGGGAUGUAGGAUGGGGUGGUUUUAAAAACAAAUGAGCUAUGCAGAGAAAAUGCCUUGAGUUCCCCAAGAAACCUGCUAAAAAAGUGCCUUCUAUUCAAGACGCAAGGCAAAUGGCAAUGGCCGGGUCCCUGCAGACAGGGGCUCUUUGUGAGGAGUCCUUGCGAACCUGCUGCCAUCCUCCCCCAGCGCCGGGAGAGGCCAGCGGCUGCCUUUCCUGUUUUCUGCCUCCUCGGUUUUAUACAUUCCUGCAAGGCAACCCAAGCGAGCAAACCUCCCUGCUAUUUGCAAUAUGUGGGCGUGCCCUCUGCAAAAUCCACAUCGUGGUCCUUCCAAACCGUUUUCAGAGGUUCGCCCAUAUUUACACAGUGCUUGAGGGAUGCUAGGAACUAUGGUUUGAACAGGAAAGAAUUUUCAGGGGUUGCCUGCUGUUUGAGGCUGCUUCACCUUCCAGCUCACCUGGGAGGUAAAGCAGCUCAAGUGUGAGGUUAGCAGCUCUUUUUUUUUUUUUUUUAGCUCAUCUUCCUCACUGCCAGUGCUCCCCAUUUCUUUGACCUGUUUUUUUCCUGUCCCAUUAUGCACUUAUGUUUUAAGCUAGUGGUGAUGAUGCUGGGGACUUUCCGCUCACAGUUGCCAGUUCUGGCAGUGCCCGUGCUUCUCUUCUGUGUGGAGAGAGAGAGCAUCCAGCCCGUUUGAGGAGGAAAUACUGCCUGCGUGGAGAGAUGUUUUUAAUUUAGUGAAUCCGUGAACUCUAAGGCCAGAGGGGUAUGUUAUGAUCCUCUAAACCAGCAGUUUGCCUAACACGAGCCACAAAAUCUUACCCAUGAGCUCCUACCACCAAGCCCAUUAGCUUCUUUAGAAAUUCUUGCUCCAGAACACUGAGUGGAGUAAUUACCACUAUGGUUAGAACAAUGCCCCAUAAGAAUGAAACAUUUUUGCUCAAAAUAUCCAAGUCAUAUCUGCUUAUGUCAGAAGAAACAAUGACUUUAACUAGUGUGUAUUAUUCCUGCUGCCCGCUCUGCUUUGAAAGGGUGAGGGGAGGGAAAGCAAACUCCUUUAUGGCCUGUGCAUCACUGCAAAGGGAUUGUGAUUGCAGGUUUAUUGCAUCUGACUAUUUCUGUUUGGAAAGAGUCCAGGUUGACUGUCAGAGCCAGAGCUGAGUCUGAUGGCUUGGAAGAUGGGGGAAAAAAGGUCCUUGCACUGUAAACUGAGCAAAGAGGAAAUUUGAUAAGUUAUGAAGGUAACAAAAGAGAGAGCCUCAGCACUGUCAUUCCGACUGGGCUGGUUGUUGCGAAGCUCUGGGUUAACUUCUGCAGCACAGAGGGCCUGGUGAGACGUUUGUGUAUGGAGGCGAAUAGGUCCCCAUGACAUGGUGCCGCAGAGGAGCACUCCUUCAUCUUCUCGAGAGUCUCGGGGUGAUCAUCUCCUGCAGGAAUUGUCCUCAGCAUGCUGUCAGACAAGCAAACCCAUUGUUGGGCCCCUGAGGCUUCAAGAUGAAGUCCACUCGCCAUCUGGCCCUUCGUGACUGAUUGGAAGCCUGACUGGUUUGUGGGAUGCUCUCCGUGAACCGUGGUGCGGCAAGCUUUGCUGACACCGUGCUGGAAAUGGAAACGCUUGGAAAGCAGGCUGGGAACGGCGGGUACCAAACAGCAUUUUGGCCUCACAGUAUGUACCUGUGGAGGGUGGCUCUUUUUUCUGACUGUCUGUGUAGUCAUAUUUGAGCAGCAGUUAGAUACUCCAUUUGUUUGUACUCCCUGCCUUCCUGUUGAUAUCAUUUUUGUGAAAGUCAUGCCCUACGCUCAUAGGUACGGUUCGUUGCCACUCUGCAUAGCGAACGAGAGUCUUGCACAAGUCCUGAAGAGAUUGUUCAUGGCCCAGACUGUUGCAGAGGGGGAGUGCCUGGUCCAAAACCAAGCCCAAGAGCAGC